rnacentral:rRNA from 1 species
AACGGUAACAGGUAAGUACUUGUACUUAUGCUGACGAGUGGCGGACGGGUGAGUAAUGCUUGGGGAUCUGGCUUAUGGAGGGGGAUAACGACGGGAAACUGUCGCUAAUACCGCGUAGAAUCGGGAGAUGAAAGUGUGGGACCUUCGGGCCACAUGCCAUAGGAUGAACCCAAGUGGGAUUAGGUAGUUGGUGGGGUAAUGGCCUACCAAGCCGACGAUCUCUAGCUGGUCUGAGAGGAUGACCAGCCACACCGGGACUGAGACACGGCCCGGACUCCUACGGGAGGCAGCAGUGGGGAAUAUUGCGCAAUGGGGGCAACCCUGACGCAGCCAUGCCGCGUGAAUGAAGAAGGCCUUCGGGUUGUAAAGUUCUUUCGGUGACGAGGAAGGUUGUUGUGUUAAUAGCGCAACAAAUUGACGUUAAUCACAGAAGAAGCACCGGCUAACUCCGUGCCAGCAGCCGCGGUAAUACGGAGGGUGCGAGCGUUAAUCGGAAUAACUGGGCGUAAAGGGCACGCAGGCGGACUUUUAAGUGAGGUGUGAAAU